GAGCGGAAAGGCCACUUCGGUGGUACUCGAGCGGCGAACGGGUGAGUAACACGUGAGUAAUCUGCCCCUGGCUUUGGGAUAGCCACCGGAAACGGUGAUUAAUACCGGAUAUGACAUGGACUCGCAUGGGUUUGUGUGGAAAGUUUUUCGGCCAGGGAUGUGCUCGCGGCCUAUCAGCUUGAUGGUGAGGUAAUGGCUCACCAUGGCUUCGACGGGUAGCCGGCCUGAGAGGGUGACCGGUCACACUGGGACUGAGACACGGCCCAGACUCCUACGGGAGGCAGCAGUGGGGAAUAUUGGACAAUGGGCGGAAGCCUGAUCCAGCAACGCCGCGUGAGGGAUGACGGCCUUCGGGUUGUAAACCUCUUUCAGUACCGACGAAGCGCAAGUGACGGUAGGUACAGAAGAAGCACCGGCCAACUACGUGCCAGCAGCCGCGGUAAUACGUAGGGUGCGAGCGUUGUCCGGAAUUAUUGGGCGUAAAGGGCUCGUAGGCGGUUUGUCGCGUCGGGAGUGAAAACGCCGUGCUUAACACGGCGCUUGCUUUCGAUACGGGCAGACUAGAGGUAUGCAGGGGAGAACGGAAUUCCUGGUGUAGCGGUGAAAUGCGCAGAUAUCAGGAGGAACACCGG
rnacentral:rRNA from 1 species